CUUUUCUCUAUGUCUGGAAAAGCGUAGGCAUCCGGAGGCUUUGGAGGGGAGUCUGGCAGCCCGGCUGGCCCAGGCCCUGCAGCGGCAGCCUUUCCACAGGGCGCAGCGGCGGCCUUUCGAGGCCCUUUCUGGGGGAGAACCUCCUGGAGGGGUUCUUUGUGGGGCCCUGUGUCCCCUGCUCGGGAGUAAGGCUGGUCCUGGGGUCCUCCCUGCACAGCCCCCACU
rnacentral:sRNA from 1 species